GGUCCAGGCGGCCCCGCCCCGCCCACCCGCGCUCCCCGCGCUCUCCGCGCUGGAGCGCCGCGGAGCUGUCCAGCUUUUCAGUGCCGGAGCCGGCCGCCUGCCCCGUGCACCGCGCCGCCUCCGCGCCAGGUCUCUGCGCCGCUCGCCCGCCCAGCGCCCGGCCGGCCCCGCCCCACCCCGCCCCGCCGCGGCCCGUCCACUGCUCCCCGCGGGCCGAAGCCGGCCAAGCGGCUGCCCGCCGGGGCUCUGAACGGCGCGGCGGGGCCGGGAGCCAGGGACCCGCCGAGGAGAGCGGCGGCCCCGGACAGCUGCCGGAGGGGCGGCCGCGCGUGGAUGCGGCGGGAGCCGGAAGCCUCGUGCAGCCGGCGCCGUCUCUGCCCCCGGGCGCCCUAUGGCUUGAAGGGAAAGUUGGCUGCCAUGUCAUCAGGAUGUUCAAGCAGCUCUGUGGAAGGGUCUACAUGGUAAGGGACUGAAGCCUCCUGCCAACAGCCAUGUGAAUGAACCAUCUUGGAAGCCCAUCUUCCCUCCCCAGACAAGCCUUCAAGUGACCAUGGCCACUGCCAAGGUCUUAACCACGACCUUUUGAAAGACCCUGAGCCAGAACCACCUGACUGAGCUGCCUGAAUUCCUGACCCACAGGAGCUAUGAGAUAAUAAAUUUUUGUUGUUUUAAAUUGCUAGGAUUUAGAGUAAUUUACUAUACCUAGUAGAAAACUAAUGCACACUCUGAAAUAUUCAGACUUUUCUUCUACAAUGACAUGGAGUCUCUUUGCUCAGUUGUGUCUGACUCUUUGUGACCUCAUAAACUGUAGCCCGCCAGACUCCUCUGUCCAUGGGGUUCUCCAGGCAAGAAUACUGGAGUGGGUUGCCAUUUCCUUCUUCAGGGGAUCUACCCAACUCAGGGAUCAAACCUAGGUCUCCCACAUUGCAGGUGAAUUCUUUAC
ensembl:lncRNA